GAAAUGCGAUAAGUAGUGUGAAUUGCAGAAUUCAGUGAAUCAUCGAAUCUUUGAACGCACAUUGCGCCCUUUGGUAUUCCAAAGGGCAUGCCUGUUCGAGCGUCAUUUGUACCCUCAAGCUUUGCUUGGUGUUGGGCGUCUUGUCUCUAGCUUUGCUGGAGACUCGCCUUAAAGUAAUUGGCAGCCGGCCUACUGGUUUCGGAGCGCAGCACAAGUCACACUCUCUAUCAGCAAAGGUCUAGCAUCCAUUAAGCCUUUUUUCAACUUUUGACCUCGGAUCAGGUAGGGAUACCCGCUGAACUUAAGC
rnacentral:misc_RNA from 1 species